GAAAAAAAAAAAAAAAAAAAAAAAAAAAA
rnacentral:ribozyme from 1 species